CAGAGACCAUAUUCGCUUACCACCAAUGGGGAACUGACAAAACUUACAGUGGAAGGUGAGGCAAGAAUAGAAGAGAAGAUUUUCGAGCUAUUUAAUUUAUUGUGUCUUAUAUUCAAUUCAAUUUCUAUUUUCUCUACAAGUUAUGAAAUAUUAUACGUAAAUGCAUUAAAAAAAUUUAUUUUAUGUAGGAGUGGCCAAUUUGCGUGACCUAUGGAGUAAUUCUUCGAUACAUGGGAACAAGUCUGCAACAUUGUCGUACAAAGUAAUCUUCAUUCAUAGUUCUUUGAUGAAAUCUCAUGCAUUAUAAUUUUGCUGCUGAAAUUAGCUUAUAUAGUUUGGAGGGAGUGUGGUUUUUUUUUAAGCUCGUCCAUAUGUUAACCUGUAGCGAAUUCUGAUUGUUUGCUUAUUUUGAGAAUGAUUCAAUAGUAGCAUGUUUUCUUGUAGUCCUUAUUGCACGAUUCGAUGGAAUUGUUAAAGUUGAUGUUCCUUUUAAGAGGGCAAAAUCGAAGUGUAGUGUUGAACAAGUAGGUGUAACCGUUAAGUUCUAUGACGACGAACUCAAUGUAGUCAGUUAUGGGAAAUCGAGAUAAAAAAUGUGACAAUGUGGAUUCUCCUAAAAUGGGUUUAUUACUGAAUAGAGGGAAAAAAUCUUAAAUGCAGAAACAAAUGGAACUCUUGAGUGGAUGUCCAAAGAUUUCACCGAUUAUUAGUUGGGAUAGGAAUGCAAGAAAGGAAUAUGAUGACCUGGAAAUCUUGUCCCUAAUCAAACUGGGAUUGCUGUAAAAGAGAAUUGACUUGUUCAAUUUGAGGCGACGAAUAAUACGGAAGUGAAAAACGUGCGGGAUUCGGAGGAUUUGUAGAAUGCCUUGGCAAUUCUUUAUCGAAAAAAGGCAACAACUGGUAAUGUUUUUUUUUUCAAUUUAAAUGGAUUAAAUUUAUAAUGUAAUAAGUAUUGUGUCGUAGUUUAUAUAUGUCGCGGCAGUGUUCCCAAAUGUGCACUAUGGAAGAUGAGGGGUAAAGAGCAUAAAACCCCCCUGUGUUUUGUAAAACCUACACCAAAUCCCCUUGUGUUAAUUUUAUUGCGUAAAAUCCCCUUCUGUUUUAUUUUUUCUUGCACACACUCCCCUUCUCCGUUAGUUACUAACACCGUUAGAUAUAGUGGUAAAUUUAUGAAUUUGCCCUUUCAAUCAAUUAAGAUUAAAUUAAAGAAAUUAAAAAAAAAAAAGGAAAACAAAAAAGCUAUCGGACUUCUCAACCCAGAUCCUAAUUUCAUUACCCUAAAUCUUUUUAGCACAAAACAAUUCUCUGCACCACCCUAAUCAACACCAGUAUCUUCCACCAUGGCCACCGUCCAAGCACCAUGGACUCUGUAACUUUUCUUGCACUUCCGGCGACCACCGUUUUACCUUGAAAGGGUACUUCUUUGGCAAAGGUAAGGCCGUACAAAUAAAUUACACAGUACUUCUACUUAUUAUAUUGGAUGAAGCAAGUGGUAUUUAUAAAUGAGUGGGAUCCUUUUAAGAGUGGAGGAAAUGAAUAAAAACAUUAAAAAAUGUCAUCUUCUUUCAAAGAGAAGGCAGACCUUUUGUUUUCAAGUUAAUAGUAAAAAGUCACUGUAUAAUGUUGAGAGAAUCAUUUAAAUAUGUUCUGUCAUCGAUCUUAGAGCUUUGUAAAAUAAAAUCAAUAAGUUGUAAAAAAAAUUGAGCUUUGGUACUAUUUAAUUUCUUUUAAUAAUGAUUUUUUUGUUCUUUUAUCAACUAAUUUGUCUAUUUUUUUUUUACACAUGGACAGAGAUAGUGUGUUGGGAAAAGAUAUUGAGCGAACAAACUUUUCCCUGGAAACAAAUUGGUUUUUGUAUGAUGGGCGUAAUGGGGUAAAUGUAGAAAAUUCAACCCAACGUGAUGUGGAUAUUGAUCGAGACUUAGAUCAUAAUGCUGAAAAUGAAGUUGACGAUAAUUCUGACUGUGAUUCAUGGAUGGCUGAAGAUUUUGAAGGUCCAAAUGAUGAUGAUAUAUUUGUCGAGAGACCUGAAGACCACGCUCAUCAAGAACUAAAAAGAAUGAGAGUUGUCAUGCAAGAAUCUGCACAGAAGACCAAUGCUCAAACAUACGAUAUAGACCAACUCGGCAGCUCCAAUGAACAAGAUUGGUACAGUGAUGUUGAAAGCGACAGUGAUAGUGAUCUAGAGAAUUUGAAAGGUUCAGAUCAUGAAGGUGAUGGGUAUGAAUUAUGGAAAGAGAAAAACUACCCCAAUAUGAAUGAGUUUGAGAUGAAAAUUGGUAUGAAAUUCGCUAAUAGAGCCAUCUUCAGGGAGGUCUUGAGGGAUUGGGUAGUUAGGAAUGGCUGGGAUUUAUCUUUCAAAAAGUGUGAAAGGCAUAAAAUCACAGCAAUUUGUAAGAAAGGUUGCAAUUGGAAGAUUCACGAUUCUUCUGUUAUGAAAACAUUAGUAUUUCAGGUGAAGAGUAUAAAAGGGUCUCAUAAAUGCGCUCGUACCAUGGACAACAAACAAGCCACAUACAAAUAUAUAGGGAAGAGAAUUGUGGACGUUGUCAGGGAUAAUCCUUGUGAGAGCUUGGAGACACUUAAGAGGAAAAUUUGGAGGGACAUUCAGGUAGAUUGUAGCUUGCACAUUGUAUGUAGAGCAAGAAGAUAUGCACUAGUGCUGAUCAAAGGAAAUGUAAAGAGAGAAUACGAAAGGCUAUGGGAUUAUUGUGCUACUGUUUGUAAUGAGAACAAAGAAAGUACUCUUCAGUUAAAGCUUGAUAGAUCGGUAAAUCCUCCAGCUCUUAUUAGGAUGUAUUACAGCUUGGGGGGUUUGAAGUCUGGUUUUAAAAUUGGAUGUAGGCCUAUCAUAGGCUUGGAUGGUUGUUUCUUGAAAGGACCAUUUAAAGGGCAUUUGUUGUCUGCCAUUGGGAGAGAUGCUAAUGAUAAUAUUUAUCCGAUUGCUAUGGCAUUUGUUGAGAUAGAAAAAUAUGAUAGUUGGCGUUGGUUUUUAGAAAUUUUACUACGUGAUAUUGGACCAUAUGAGGAGAGAGGGUGGGCAUUCAUAUCGGAUAGACAAAAAGGCCUCAUUGAAGCAGUAUCGGAGCUUUUUCCACAUGCUGAACAUAGGUAUUGUUUGCGGCACAUGUAUAAUAACUUUAAAUUAAAAUUCAAGGGAAUCAACAUGAGAAUGAAGGGCACAUAUUUGGCUAUUUAUGAUCACAUGAUUUAUCCGGUACCUGGAAUGAAGUUUUUUGCAAAUAGUAACCACGGCCCAGUAGAUCCUCCGAUCAUUAAAAUAAAGAGUGGCAGGCCACAAAAGAAAAGAAGAAAGGAUGGUAAUGACACGAGAAAUUCAAAUAUUGUAUCAAGGAAAGGUUUGACGCACACUUGUUCUAAUUGCUUAGAGCUUGGACACAACAAGAAAAGUUGUAGAAAUCCUACUCAUAAGAAGUCAAAGUUAUACAAAGUAAGUUAUUUACAAUUUUACAUUUAUCUAAAAUAUUUUUUUUAGAUACUUAUUUAUUUUUAAAACAACCAUCAGACACUAACAUCACGGAAGAUAAUGAAGCUAGAGGACAAGAACGAGAGACAACAAUGCAAGAUGUUGCACCUGAUGUUCCGUUUCAUCGAUCUACAAAAGCAACAAAAUUAAAAGUUAUAAAGAAGAAACAAGAUAUCCAGGUAAAUUGUUUAAGAGAAUUUAUAUGAUGUAAUCAAUAGGAUCAAUGUACUUUUAUCAUUAUUUGUGUAACUAUUUCUAAUAAUAAAUAAUAUUUACUUUAUGGUUCUUGGUUAUUUAGGUACCAAGGUCAAAUAUUUAUGUAGUUCCCCCUCGUUGUAGUUUAAGGCCAGGGAAUAAUGCAUUGCCCUCUGUUGCAGCAAAAGUAAAAAUAAUUCAAGUAUUUCUAGUUUAUAUUUUACAAGUACUUAAUUAGUAUAAUAUAUUUAGUGUUAAAUAUGUAACAUACAAUUAUUCUUGCAGGAAAAUGUUUUCAAAGCAGCAUGUUGUUCGUCAUCAAAUUUGCCCCCGGAUCAAAAUCAACCUGAAGGUAAUCUAACUAAGAAGCCUAGGCAGAAGAAAACAACCAUUUUUUAGGUGCUCCAAAAAAUUAAAGCAAGACAAAGAGGAAAUGCGCCAUUUUGACUUUUAUUGUAUGAUAUAUUGAUUGUAGUCGUAGAUUUUGCAUUUGACUGAUUAUCCUUUUGCUGGUGGCAAAUUUAUUUGCUAUUUUUUGAAUUUGGCUUGUGGCCAGUUAUCUUUUUGUUUAAGAUGAAUAUUUUGGCUCGAUUAUGGAUGCAAAUAUCUUUUUGUUUGACGAUGUUGCAUAUUUUGGCUAAUUGGUAAUGACACGGGCAUGUUUGUCCAUUACUCUCUUAUGGAAUUGGUUAUGGACGAGUUUAAUUUAACUUUAAUUAUUGUAUGUAAUGAUAAAUUAUUGUUGCUUAUCAAUUAUAUAUAUGAUUUUUGUUUGUGUGUAUUCAAUUUGUUCAAUAUUUUAUUUUUAUUUGUAGAAGUUCAAGAAUAUAUAUAAUAUUUGAAAGAAAUAAAAUGAAGUCUGACAUUUGUUUCCAAUUUUAUCGAGUAGUUAACAUUAACAUUAAAAUAUUAUAAAUUUAUUGAUAUGCAAAUAAUUGGAAAUAAAUAUAAUUGAAAAUUAUUGAUAUGCAAAAAAUAUGUGCCUCUUUUUAAUUUUUUUCCCUAAAAGAGGGAUUUUAUGCAAAUAAGUAUAAAAUAUGAAGGUAUAUUUAAUACAAGGUAUUUGAAGGUUAUUUCGGUCAUUUAAGGUUGAAAGUUGUAGAAAAAUGGAAGCCAACUUUCGGAUCUUUGGCGUGAAAGACACGCGCUGACAGAUUUUAACAGAAGGGGAGUGUGUGCAAGAAAAAACAAAACAAAGGGGGAUUAUAUGCAAUAUAAUUAACACAGGGGGAUUUGGUGCAGAUUUUACAAAACACAGGGGGGUUUUGUGCUCUUUACCCGGAAGAUGAGUAUGCGUUAUAUGAAGAUCCCAUUGAACGAAUAAGGAACCUUACGCCAUUUUUUCGCAGUCUUUGUCAUCUUUUGUCGAUUUUGCUUUUUUUUAAAUGAAUUACAUUGAAAUUUUUAUAUUUCGAUAGGUGGUGAAGUUGGUUUAGCUCGUAAAUGUAUUGAAUCAUUCCUAUCUGGGAAGAGUCAUUUGCUGCUGAAGAAUGAAAAUCACGACAACCGUAAAUCCACAAAGCAAACAAAAUCACCUGACAUUUUUCUCCCCGGUAGAUCUUCAUGUCAAGUAAAUUAUUAUGUUCCUAUACAAAUUUGUUUUUUAUUUUAUUUUUUUUGCGAAAUAAAUAAAUAAUUAAAUUAAAAUAAUGUGUAUUAUAUUCUCAGGACUUCGAGUAUAUAUGUGUGAAGGAUAAUUGGAGGCU
rnacentral:lncRNA from 1 species